rnacentral:rRNA from 1 species
GACGAACGCUGGCGGCGUGCUUAACACAUGCAAGUCGAACGAAGUGGCGAACGGGUGAGUAACGCGUAAUCAACCUGCCCUUCAGAGGGGGACAACAGUUGGAAACGACUGCUAAUACCGCAUACUGAAGGAGGGGAUUGCGUGGGAUUAGCUAGUUGGGGGGGGAACGGCCCACCAGGGCGAUGAUCAGUAGCCGGUCUGGGUGGAUGCACGUGCAAAUUGGGACUUGUACACGGCCCAGACUCCUACGGGAGGCAGCAGUGGGGGAUCUUCCGCAAUGGCCGGCAGUCGGACGGAGCAACGCCGCGGGAGUGAUGACGGCCUUCGGGUUGUAAAGCUCUUUUAAUCGGGACGCGGUACCGGAAUAGAAAGCCACGGCUAACUACGUGCCAGCAGCCGCGGUAAUAC